UACAGAGGUCCCAAGCGUUUGUUCGGAUUCACUGGGCGUAAAGGGUGCGUAGGUGGCGGGGUAAGUUUGAUGUGAAAUCUCCGGGCUUAACCCGGAAACUGCAUUGAAUACUAUUCUGCUCGAGGUUUGGAGGGGGGACUGGAAUUCUCGGUGUAGCAGUGAAAUGCGUAGAUAUCGAGAGGAACACCAGUGGCGAAGGCGAGUCCCUGGACAACACCUGACACUGAGGCACGAAAGCUAGGGGAGCAAACAGG
rnacentral:rRNA from 1 species